rnacentral:sRNA from 1 species
AUCUAACCCUGAUAGGAAUGAAAAUAAAAAAUGGUGAUUAAUCAAAAUCACCAUUUUUUAUUGUAAUGUAUAGCAGGAAUAUGG